ensembl:lncRNA novel transcript, antisense to CDH12
GAAGCCUGAGAAGAUGAGAGAGUCAAGUCCUUAGAGGGACUGAAAGCAGAGACAUAACGGCACAAAACGAGAUGGGAAAGUGACGGAGCAAUACAUGAGUCUGUAAUGAGUGGGAUUUAGGUGGGCAGCAGCACUUGGUUAUUUACAAGUUCAGGAUCCUGUUUAUAAAGCAAGGAAAGAUUGCUAUCUGUCUCCAGCACUAUGGCGAGAUAAUUAAUAGGAGCACUGCUGGAGACUGAUAGUGCAGGCGGCCGAUACCCAUGGCAGGAGCUCUCGUCAUCUAACUGCCACAGAAUUGUGAAGAUAUGAUGCCUCAAAAGGAGAACAACAUCACUUCCGCGGCAUUCCUGCGCAAAAUGACUAACCUGAAUCUAGUCAUGAGAAACUGAGAAUCUCAAAUUGUCAGACAAUCUAGAAAAUAAUUUGCCUGUACUCUUCAAAAAUAUCAAGAUCAUGAAAGACAAAGAAAGUCGGAGAAAUUGUUUCAGAUUAAGAUACAUUAAAGAGAUAAGACGACGGAAUGCAUUGAGUCCCAGAAGGAGGGAUUAGCAUAUACUGUGUUUGCAUAUCAUAAAAACUGACACUGAGGUAAUUCUGCUUGUCUUUUUCUCAAGUCAAAAGAAAGAACCAUUAAUAAAUACAUUACAAAUACAUUAGAAUAUCCAUGUCAAUCAAAACUUGAAUGAAAGAAUAACUAAUUUAUUAUUUAUUCCUGUGAUUAAACAAUGUGCACGUUUCAAAAUAUGGUAUUAAAGGAACAUGUCUCUACUUACCUCAUCACAAGGUCUUAGACAGCUUCAUGUUCAUCAUUAUUAAAGGAAGCCCACACAAAAACUGCACACCCCUAGAAACUGAAGCAGCUGAAUUACACUAACAAUAAACCAAGGGGUGAAUAAAAGUGUCUACUAAAUACAAAAUUUAAGUAUAAUUCUCAAUGGGUAUGAUGGUUGUAGCAGAUAAUGAUAUGUCUAGUCUACUGUAAUCAUUACUUAUGUAAGAAAUUCUUUAUUGUUAUUGGAGAGAGUCAAUCACCUGGUUGAAUAUAAAAAUAUCUCUCUUUUGGCCUGUACAAUCCACAGAUUUAUAGAAGAUUUGGAAGACCUGGAGUCCCAUACUCUUACUAGUAUCUUCCAGUAUAGAUUAUUUUUAAUAAAGUAUAGAAGAAUUUUCAGAUUGAUUUUUUAACAAUGUUUAAAUCAAGUGGUGCAUACACUUGGAUGUGAACACAUCACAUAUCAUGAUUUUAAUGUUUAAAAGCGUUUUUGUGAUAUUCCAUCGGUAACAGAUUUUUUUUCAUCUGUUUUGCUAUUGCAUGCCUCUCAAACUUCUGGGUAAUAAGAAAUGUAGAAAAGUAAAUUUACAAAAUUUAGAAGCAAAUAUCAUGUAUUUGCUUUUAUGUUCUCA